rnacentral:rRNA from 1 species
CCUACGGGUGGCAGCAGUGGGGAAUAUUGGGCAAUGGGCGAAAGCCUGACCCAGCAACGCCGCGUGAAGGAAGAAUGCUCUCGGGUUGUAAACUUCUUUUGUCAGGGAAGAGUAGAAGACGGUACCUGACGAAUAAGCCACGGCUAACUACGUGCCAGCAGCCGCGGUAAUACGUAGGUGGCAAGCGUUGUCCGGAUUUACUGGGUGUAAAGGGCGUGUAGCCGGGUUGACAAGUCAGAUGUGAAAUCCUGCGGCUUAACCGUAGAACUGCAUUUGAAACUGAUGAUCUUGAGUACUGGAGAGGCAGAUGGAAUUCCUAGUGUAGCGGUGAAAUGCGUAGAUAUUAGGAGGAACACCAGUGGCGAAGGCGGUCUGCUGGACAGCAACUGACGGUGAGGCGCGAAAGCGUGGGGAGCAAACAGGAUUAGAUACCCGAGUAGUC